AGCUCCAAUAGCGUAUAUUAAAAUUGUUGCAGUUAAAAAGCUCGUAGUUGGAUCUCAGGUCUGGUGUGUCGGUCUGGUCAUUGUACUAUGAUUGUGCGCAUCUGCCUUUAUUAGCUGUAUGAUGCCCCAUGGUGUUCUUCAUUGAAUGCUAUGUGGGUGCUCGGCACGUUUACCUUGAAAAAAUCAGAGUGCUUAAAGCAGGCCUUUGCGCUUGUAUGUUGUUGCAUGGAAUAAUGGAAUAGGACUUCGGUUCUAUUUUGUUGGUUUUCGGUACUGAAGUAAUGAAAAAUAGAGACAGAAGGGGCUCUUUGUAUGCCGGUGGGAGAGGUGAAAUUCUGAGAUCGCCGGCAGACAAACUACUGCGAAAGCACUGAGCAAUAAUGGUCUCAUUAAUCAAGAA
rnacentral:rRNA from 1 species